GCAGCGUUAGCUCAGUUGGAUUAGAGCAGUAAGUUUCUAACUUACUUGUCAGGGGUUCGAGACCCUUACGCUGUG
rnacentral:tRNA from 1 species